AUACGUAGGGAGCGAGCGUUACCCGGAAUUACUGGGCGUAAAGCGCUCGUAGGCGGCCUGUUAAGUCGGAUGUGAAAGCCCCGGGCUCAACCUGGGAACUGCAUUCGAAACUGGCAGGCUAGAGUAUAGUAGAGGCAAGUGGAAUUCCGGGUGUAGCGGUGAAAUGCGUAGAUAUCCGGAGGAACAUCAGUGGCGAAGGCGACUUGCUGGACUAAUACUGACGCUGAGGAGCGAAAGCGUGGGGAGCAAACGGGAUUAGAAACCCCAGUAGUCC
rnacentral:rRNA from 1 species